UAAAGAAUUCCAUUUUAUUGUAAAACAAUUCAUGUUAAUUAUAUCUUGACAUUUUUAUUAGAUAUCUAUUAUAUUACUAUUUAAAGUCUGCCUCAAUCUGAUAUGGUCAUGGGGACUGGUUAAUGUAUGGGUUCUUGAAUUUAUAUUUCUAAUAAUAAUAUAUAAAUAUAACAAAGAUAAAGUCAUUUAGCUAAUGUAUAUUUCUUUAAAGUUUUCAUACCAGCAUCAUGGAGUGUCAUUACCAUCACUACAUGCAUUGGAAACCUCUGUGGUCUCUGCAAAACCCAAGGAUAUACUUAAAGUGGUAACAGGAGGAAAAUCAAUCAAACCAAGUGAAAGUACAAGACACUAUUACAAAAGGAAAGCAAAGGAGUCCAUAAAUUCAAUGUUGAACAUCAAGACAGUCUAAAAUAUUGAAUCCAAACAAAAUAUCAAAACUCUAUGAAGAAAUAAAUGACAAAUUGUCAAAUAAACAUGAAAGCAUUCUUA